AGGACUAACGCUGGCGGCGUGCCUAACACAUGCAAGUCGAACGGAUUGUAGCAAUACAGUUAGUGGCAGACGGGUGAGUAACACGUAGAUAACGUACCCCUUCGCUGGGGAUAGCCACUGGAAACGGUGGGUAAAACCGAAUACUCUUCAAUUGGGACAUCCCAGUUGAAGGAAAACUUUGGUGUGGAGGGAUCGGUUUGCGACCUAUCAGCUAGUUGGUGAGGUAAUGGCUCACCAAGGCGACGACGGGUAACCGGUCUGAGAGGACGGUCGGUCACACUGGCACUGAGAUACGGGCCAGACUCCUACGGGAGGCAGCAGUGAGGGAUUUUGCACAAUGGAGGAAACUCUGAUGCAGCGACGCCGCGUGCGGGACGAAGCCUUUCGGGGUGUAAACCGCUGUCAGUGGGGAAGAGUAGGGACGGUACCACUGAGGAAGCAUCGGCUAACUACGCGCCAGCAGCCGC
rnacentral:rRNA from 1 species